rnacentral:misc_RNA from 1 species
AAUGGUGUCGGAGCUCUCAACCUCAAGGGUGAUGGUCUUGCCCGUGAGAGUCUUGACGAAAAUCUGCAUACCACCCCUCAAGCGGAGGACCAGAUGGAGGGUUGACUCCUUCUGGAUACUGUAAUCCGCCAGGGUUCUGCCGUCCUCAAGCUGCUUGCCUGCAAAGAUCAAGCGCUGCUGGUCCGGAGGAAUGCCCUCUUUGUCCUGAAUCUUGGCUUUGACAUUGUCGAUGGUAUCAGAGCUCUCAACCUCGAGGGUGAUGGUCUUGCCGGUGAGAGUCUUGACGAAGAUCUGCAUCUUGAUCGUGGAUUCUGAGAACUCGCUUCUUUCACGCUUGCGAUUGGG